rnacentral:rRNA from 1 species
UACGUAGGGGGCAAGCGUUGUUCGGAAUUACUGGGCGUAAAGCGCGCGUAGGCGGACUGGCAAGUCAGAUGUGAAAGCCCCGGGCUCAACUUGGGAACUGCAUUUGAUACUGCCAGACUAGAGUACAGAAGAGGUGACUGGAAUUCCCAGUGUAGCGGUGAAAUGCGUAGAUAUUGGGAGGAGCACCAGAUGCGAAGGCGGGUCACUGGGCUGAUACUGACGCUGAGGCGCGAAAGCCAGGGGAGCGAACGGG